AAUAAAAUAAAAUAUUUUUUUUUUUUUUUUUUUUUUUUUUUUUUUUUUUUUUUUUUUUUUUUUUUUUUUUUUUUUUUUUUUUUUUUUUUUUUUUUUUUUUUUUUUUUUUUUUUUUUUUUUUUUUUUUUUUUUUUUUUUUUUUUUUUUUUUUUUUUUUUUUUUUUUUUUUUUUUUUUUUUUUUUUUUUUUUUUUUUUUUUUUUUUUUUUUUUUUUUUUUUUUUUUUUUUUUUUUUUUUUUUUUUUUUUUUUUUUUUUUUUUUUUUUUUUUUUUUUUUUUUUUUUUUUUUUUUUUUUUUUUUUUUUUUUUUUUUUUUUUUUUUUUUUUUUUUUUUUUUUUUUUUUUUUUUUUUUUUUUUUUUUUUUUUUUUUUUUUUUUUUUUUUUUUUUUUUUUUUUUUUUUUUUUUUUUUUUUUUUUUUUUUUUUUUUUUUUUUUUUUUUUUUUUUUUUUUUUUUUUUUUUUUUUUUUUUUUUUUUUUUUUUUUUUUUUUUUUUUUUUUUUUUUUUUUUUUUUUUUUUUUUUUUUUUUUUUUUUUUUUUUUUUUUUUUUUUUUUUUUUUUUUUUUUUUUUUUUUUUUUUUUUUUUUUUUUUUUUUUUUUUUUUUUUUUUUUUUUUUUUUUUUUUUUUUUUUUUUUUUUUUUUUUUUUUUUUUUUUUUUUUUUUUUUUUUUUUUUUUUUUUUUUUUUUUUUUUUUUUUUUUUUUUUUUUUUUUUUUUUUUUUUUUUUUUUUUUUUUUUUUUUUUUUUUUUUUUUUUUUUUUUUUUUUUUUUUUUUUUUUUUUUUUUUUUUUUUUUUUUUUUUUUUUUUUUUUUUUUUUUUUUUUUUUUUUUUUUUUUUUUUUUUUUUUUUUUUUUUUUUUUUUUUUUUUUUUUUUUUUUUUUUUUUUUUUUUUUUUUUUUUUUUUUUUUUUUUUUUUUUUUUUUUUUUUUUUUUUUUUUUUUUUUUUUUUUUUUUUUUUUUUUUUUUUUUUUUUUUUUUUUUUUUUUUUUUUUUUUUUUUUUUUUUUUUUUUUUUUUUUUUUUUUUUUUUUUUUUUUUUUUUUUUUUUUUUUUUUUUUUUUUUUUUUUUUUUUUUUUUUUUUUUUUUUUUUUUUUUUUUUUUUUUUUUUUUUUUUUUUUUUUUUUUUUUUUUUUUUUUUUUUUUUUUUUUUUUUUUUUUUUUUUUUUUUUUUUUUUUUUUUUUUUUUUUUUUUUUUUUUUUUUUUUUUUUUUUUUUUUUUUUUUUUUUUUUUUUUUUUUUUUUUUUUUUUUUUUUUUUUUUUUUUUUUUUUUUUUUUUUUUUUUUUUUUUUUUUUUUUUUUUUUUUUUUUUUUUUUUUUUUUUUUUUUUUUUUUUUUUUUUUUUUUUUUUUUUUUUUUUUUUUUUUUUUUUUUUUUUUUUUUUUUUUUUUUUUUUUUUUUUUUUUUUUUUUUUUUUUUUUUUUUUUUUUUUUUUUUUUUUUUUUUUUUUUUUUUUUUUUUUUUUUUUUUUUUUUUUUUUUUUUUUUUUUUUUUUUUUUUUUUUUUUUUUUUUUUUUUUUUUUUUUUUUUUUUUUUUUUUUUUUUUUUUUUUUUUUUUUUUUUUUUUUUUUUUUUUUUUUUUUUUUUUUUUUUUUUUUUUUUUUUUUUUUUUUUUUUUUUUUUUUUUUUUUUUUUUUUUUUUUUUUUUUUUUUUUUUUUUUUUUUUUUUUUUUUUUUUUUUUUUUUUUUUUUUUUUUUUUUUUUUUUUUUUUUUUUUUUUUUUUUUUUUUUUUUUUUUUUUUUUUUUUUUUUUUUUUUUUUUUUUUUUUUUUUUUUUUUUUUUUUUUUUUUUUUUUUUUUUUUUUUUUUUUUUUUUUUUUUUUUUUUUUUUUUUUUUUUUUUUUUUUUUUUUUUUUUUUUUUUUUUUUUUUUUCAGUUUUAGUUUUAGUUAUUUUAGUACAUCAACUUAA
rnacentral:lncRNA from 12 species